GACGAACGCUGGCGGCGUGCUUAAUACAUGCAAGUCAACUUGACUUUAGAUAGCAAUAUCGAAAAGUAGGGUGGCGCACGGGUGCGUAACGCGUAGGUAAUCUGCCCUGAGGUCUGACAUAACCCGUCGAAAGGCGGCUAACAUCAGAUGAUAUAUAAUCACGACAUCGUGGAAAAUAUCAAAUCUUCGGAGCCUUGGGAUGAGCCUGCGUCUGAUUAGGUAGUUGGCGGAGUAAUAGCCCACCAAGCCUACGAAUCAGUAGCUGGUCUGAGAGGAUGAUCCAGCCACACUUGGAACUGAGACA
rnacentral:rRNA from 1 species